rnacentral:lncRNA from 13 species
AUCUGAUGUGGCAUUUUAAAAACUGCAUAGAUCUAUUUCAAGUGGUGUAAAAACAUCACUGAUGGACGAAAGCUAUUGAAUUAGACAGAAAUCUAACCCUGCAAAUAUAUAUUUAAAUAUUGAAUAAUGAACAGGAUAUCUGGAUGGGUCUCACUUUGUCACAAAGGCUGGUGUGCCAUGGCGUGAUCUCGGUUCACUGCAGCAUCAGUCUCCUGGGCUCAGGGGAUCCUCCCAUCGCAGCCCCCACCAAGUACCAGCUGCCUUCCAAACAUCCCUCAUGCAUCACAUUCCCUGGAGGAUCCUGUGUCUCUGAAGAUAAGCAGCAGCCUGUGGGAACUGACAGAAUGGCUGCUGGGGAUGUGGCCAUGGGAAUGAUCUUCUUAUCGCAGAGCAUAAGCUACUUGGAAUCCUGGGUAAUUUCUCUCUUAUUUACCGUUAUCUGUUCUUUUACAUCACUGGAUGCAGAUUAAGCUCCAGGUUUGAUUAUCGAACACCUCACUGUAGCCAACACCUUAUCCCUCCUCCACAGAGGAAUGCCCCACAGGCAGUGGCUGCUUUAGUGUUUAGACAUUUCCUUCAUGAUUCUGGAUGCAAAUUUCUUUUUUAUAUCUACAGAGUGGGCAGGGGAGUGGCCAUUGGCAGCACCUGCGUCCUGAGUAUCUUCCAGGCCAUCACCAUCAGCCCCAGGAGCUCCAGGUGGGGAGAGCCUAAAGGGAAAGCCCUCAAGCACGCUGACUGCUCCCUGUUCCUCAGCUGGAUCCUCCAUGUGCUGGUGAAUAUCAUUGUUCUCACCCAUGUCACUGGCAAGUGGAGUAACAAAAACACUACACAGACAAAAGAUCUGGGAUACUGUUCUGCUGUUCGUCGCCGGGACACCAGAGUGUCACUGAAUGCUGCCCUGCUGUCCUUCUCCGAUGUGAUCUGUGUGGGGCUCAUGCUCUAGGCCAGCAGCUCCAUGCUUUGCAUCCCGCACAUUCACAGGAGCGACGUCUCCCCCGCAUCCUCCCCUGACACCAGAGCUACCAAAACCGUCCUUCUCCUGGUGAGCACCUUUGUGCCCUUUUACACUCUCUCUCCUCAAGCUUGCAAGUUUGUUUGAUUCUUUUGAAUCGCGCCAGUUCAGUUAUUGGUGGACAUGGCUGCCAUCAUCAGUGC